rnacentral:rRNA from 1 species
CUCGGGUACUAGCAUGUGGUACGCUUAAUUGCGGAUACUACAUGUCUGGUCCUACUCAACCGGUUGGCCGUUGAUGCCCUUUAUUGGGUGUUUUCGGUAGCCGGUACGUUUACUUUGAGAAAAUUAGAGUGCUUAAAGCAGGCCUUACGCCUGAAUAAUGUUGCAUGGAAUAAUAGAAUAGGACCUCGGUUCUAUUUUGUUGGUUUUGUAGAGCAUUGAGGUAAUGAUUAAUAGGGACAGACGGGGGCAUUCGUAUUGCGGUGUUAGAGGUGAAAUUC